UAAGCCUGUGAAGGUGGCCUGUGAGGGUUGCUGGAGGUAUCAGAAGUGCGAAUGCUGACAUAAGUAACGAUAAAGCGGGUGAAAAGCCCGCUCGCCGGAAGACCAAGGGUUCCUGUCCAACGUUAAUCGGGGCAGGGUGAGUCGACCCCUAAGGCGAGGCCGAAAGGCGUAGUCGAUGGGAAACGGGUUAAUAUUCCCGUACUUGGUGUUACUGCGAAGGGGGGACGGAGAAGGCUAUGUUGGCCGGGCGACGGUUGUCCCGGUUUAAGCGUGUAGGUGUGUGUUCCAGGUAAAUCCGGUUCACUUUAACACUGAGGCGUGACGACGAGGCACUACGGUGCUGAAGCAACAAAUGCCCUGCUUCCAGGAAAAGCCUCUAAGCAUCAGGUAACAUCAAAUCGUACCCCAAACCGACACAGGUGGUCAGGUAGAGAAUACCAAGGCGCUUGAGAGAACUCGGGUGAAGGAACUAGGCAAAAUGGUGCCGUAACUUCGGGAGAAGGCACGCUGACAUGUAGGUGAAGUGAUUUACUCAUGGAGCUGAAGUCAGUCGAAGAUACCAGCUGGCUGCAACUGUUUAUUAAAAACACAGCACUGUGCAAACACGAAAGUGGACGUAUACGGUGUGACGCCUGCCCGGUGCCGGAAGGUUAAUUGAUGGGGUCAGCGCAAGCGAAGCUCCUGAUCGAAGCCCCGGUAAACGGCGGCCGUAACUAUAACGGUCCUAAGGUAGCGAAAUUCCUUGUCGGGUAAGUUCCGACCUGCACGAAUGGCGUAAUGAUGGCCAGGCUGUCUCCACCCGAGACUCAGUGAAAUUGAACUCGCUGUGAAGAUGCAGUGUACCCGCGGCAAGACGGAAAGACCCCGUGAACCUUUACUAUAGCUUGACACUGAACAUUGAGCCUUGAUGUGUAGGAUAGGUGGGAGGCUUUGAAGUGUGGACGCCAGUCUGCAUGGAGCCGACCUUGAAAUACCACCCUUUAAUGUUUGAUGUUCUAACGUGGACCCGUGAUCCGGGUUGCGGACAGUGUCUGGUGGGUAGUUUGACUGGGGCGGUCUCCUCCUAAAGAGUAACGGAGGAGCACGAAGGUUGGCUAAUCCUGGUCGGACAUCAGGAGGUUAGUGCAAUGGCAUAAGCCAGCUUGACUGCGAGCGUGACGGCGCGAGCAGGUGCGAAAGCAGGUCAUAGUGAUCCGGUGGUUCUGAAUGGAAGGGCCAUCGCUCAACGGAUAAAAGGUACUCCGGGGAUAACAGGCUGAUACCGCCCAAGAGUUCAUAUCGACGGCGGUGUUUGGCACCUCGAUGUCGGCUCAUCACAUCCUGGGGCUGAAGUAGGUCCCAAGGGUAUGGCUGUUCGCCAUUUAAAGUGGUACGCGAGCUGGGUUUAGAACGUCGUGAGACAGUUCGGUCCCUAUCUGCCGUGGGCGCUGGAGAACUGAGGGGGGCUGCUCCUAGUACGAGAGGACCGGAGUGGACGCAUCACUGGUGUUCGGGUUGUCAUGCCAAUGGCACUGCCCGGUAGCUAAAUGCGGAAGAGAUAAGUGCUGAAAGCAUCUAAGCACGAAACUUGCCCCGA
rnacentral:rRNA from 1 species